rnacentral:rRNA from 1 species
CACGUAGUUAGCUGUGGCUUAUUCAAGGGGUACCGUCUUCUGCUCUUCCCCCUUAAAAGAAGUUUACAACCCGAAAGCCUUCUUCCUUCACGCGGCGUUGCUGGGUCAGACUUGCGUCCAUUGCCCAAUAUUCCCCACUGCUGCCUCCCGUAGGAGUCUGGGCCGUAUCUCAGUCCCAAUGUGGCCGGCCAACCUCUCAGUCCGGCUACUGAUCGUCGCCUUGGUGGGCCGUUACCCCACCAACUAGCUAAUCAGACGCGAGGCCAUCUUUCGGCGAUAAAUCUUUGACAUCAGAGCCAUGCGACCCCAAUGUAUCAUGCGGUAUUAGCAGUCGUUUCCAACUGUUGCCCCCCUCGAAAGGCAGGUUCCUCACGCGUUACUCACCAGUCCGCCACUAAGCAUUCCCUUCCGUUGUCCGAAAACUCCUUCAGGGGUGCUCCGUUCGACUUGCAUGUGUUAAGCACGCCGCCAGCCGUUCGUCCUGAGCCAGGAUCAAACUCUA